ensembl:snoRNA SNORD36 Small nucleolar RNA SNORD36
UUCCUAAAGAUUCACAGUGAACAUUAUUAUUUAAGAGCUUUUUGAAGUGCAAAUCCAUGAGCUUUUUAACCCUGAGCAAU